ACUUCUAUCUUCUCACGCUGUUAGGUCAGAGGGAUUGUUUUGUAGCAUGAUGGAGUUGUAUUUCUCUGAAAUUCAUUUAGGCUAUACAGUAUAUUUCUUGCCAAAUUCAAAAACUGUAAAAGGCCUUUUGCCAUGUUAUUCUCUUUGGUGGGACUUUGACUCUUUCUCCCUGAACUGUCUGUGUGUGCC